GCAGCCACCUUUUAAAACGCGUCAAAGCGUAACCUUAGCCCCCAAAAUACCAUUAAUUUUCAUGAACCCCUAAUCUAUAAUGAAUGACUCCAUAUUUAUAUGGAAGACACCAUGCUAGGAUUAGUAACAAGAAUUUAUAAUUCUCCAAAAUGCAAAUAUAGACCAACAUGGAUGGACCAUUGGUAGUUACCGAACCUAAAUUCAAUGCAACAACACCUACAAGAAAACUCUGCAGUACUUACUCGUUAACCUAACACCAGCGCAUUACAGGAAAGAUUUAAAAAAAGAGAAGGAAUUCGGCAAAUGACGGCCCCGCCUGUUUACCAAAAACAUCGCCUCUUGACUUAUAAUAAGAGGUCCAGCCUGCCCAGUGAAUUUUAAACGGCCGCGGUAUCCUAACCGCGCGAAGGUAGCAUAAUCACUUGUUCUUUAAAUGGGGACUCGUAUCAACGGCAUCACGAGGGUUUUACUGUCUCCUCUUUUUGAUCAGUGAAAUUGAUCUUCCCGUGAAGAAGCGGGAAUAAAUUUAUAAGACGAGAAGACCCCAUGGAGCUUUAAACCAAAUAACAACUUAACCACUUAUCCCAUAAUAAAUUUAAGCCCUGUUAUAAGGUUUUUGGUUGGGGUGACCGCGGAGUAAAACACAUCCUCCACGACGAAAAAAACAGAAUUUUUAUUUAAGAACCACACUUCUAGAAAUUAGUAUACUAACGUUUACUGACCCGACAAUCGAUCAACGGACCAAGUUACCCUGGGGAUAACAGCGCAAUCUACUUCAAGAGCUCAUAUCGACAAGUAGGCUUACGACCUCGAUGUUGGAUCAGGGUAUCCCGGUGGUGCAGCCGCUACCGAAGGUUCGUUUGUUCAACGAUUAAAACCCUACGUGAUCUG
rnacentral:rRNA from 1 species